CUCCAUUGUCCCCAUUUUAGCCCCCAGUGAGCCUGCAGUAUUUUCCUUAUAUGAUCAGGCCCCAUUGUGGGUGGUGUUGCUUGCCUGGAGCCUAGAGAAUUAUGAAACAUGUCAGGUGAUGUGGGGCCAGAGGACCUGGUG
ensembl:scaRNA